rnacentral:rRNA from 1 species
AUUGAACGCUGGCGGCAGGCCUAACACAUGCAAGUCGAGCGGAUGAAGGGAGCUUGCUCCUGGAUUCAGCGGCGGACGGGUGAGUAAUGCCUAGGAAUCUGCCUGGUAGUGGGGGAUAACGUCCGGAAACGGGCGCUAAUACCGCAUACGUCCUGAGGGAGAAAGUGGGGGAUCUUCGGACCUCACGCUAUCAGAUGAGCCUAGGUCGGAUUAGCUAGUUGGUGGGGUAAAGGCCUACCAAGGCGACGAUCCGUAACUGGUCUGAGAGGAUGAUCAGUCACACUGGAACUGAAACACGGUCCAGACUCCUACGGGAGGCAGCAGUGGGGAAUAUUGGACAAUGGGCGAAAGCCUGAUCCAGCCAUGCCGCGUGUGUGAAGAAGGUCUUCGGAUUGUAAAGCACUUUAAGUUGGGAGGAAGGGCAGUAAGUUAAUACCUUGCUGUUUUGACGUUACCAACAGAAUAAGCACUGGCUAACUUCGUG